AGUGAACGCUGGCGGUAGGCCUAACACAUGCAAGUCGAACGGCAGCACAGUAAGAGCUUGCUCUUACGGGUGGCGAGUGGCGGACGGGUGAGGAAUACAUCGGAAUCUACUUUUUCGUGGGGGAUAACGUAGGGAAACUUACGCUAAUACCGCAUACGACCUACGGGUGAAAGCAGGGGAUCUUCGGACCUUGCGCGAUUGAAUGAGCCGAUGUCGGAUUAGCUAGUUGGCGGGGUAAAGGCCCACCAAGGCGAUGAUCCGUAGCUGGUCUGAGAGGAUGAUCAGCCACACUGGAACUGAGACACGGUCCAGACUCCUACGGGAGGCAGCAGUGGGGAAUAUUGGACAAUGGGCGCAAGCCUGAUCCAGCCAUACCGCGUGGGUGAAGAAGGCCUUCAGGUUGUAAAGCCCUUUUGUUGGGAAAGAAAGGCAGCAGGUUAAUACCCCGCUGUUCUGACGGUACCCAAAGAAUAAGCACCGGCUAACUUCGUG
rnacentral:rRNA from 1 species